rnacentral:sRNA from 1 species
GCCUCUGCAUUAGUACCUGUCUCCAGAAUACUGCCCUGUUUGAGUUCCUGUCCUGACUUCCCUCCAUGAUGAACAAUAAUGAAGUGUAACCCAAAUAAGCCCUUCCCUCCAACUUGCUUUUCGGUCAUUGUGUUUUGUUGCAAACUCUAAUUCUAAAUUAUUUUGUUAAGCUAAGAACCUAAAAGGGCUCCCUGGAUUGCCUGGAACCGUUGUAUUCCUGUACCGGACACGAGAACAAGGCUUUCCCUGCAUACCGAUCUUUACUUAAAGCCUUUAUUUUCUACACAUUUGCUCCUCCCGUCCCCUCCCCCGUAGUCUCUUCAUACUGUACCGCGCUUUGCUAUGUUAUGAAAUAUAAUUACGGGGGGGGGGGGGACCUGGUGGGCCCAUGCCAGGAUGUCCCCCUGAGAAAUCACACCAUGCAAUAGACCUAGUAUAAAAGGGGUUUAUUUAGGCGAAGGGAGAGGAGGAAGGGCCUGUAGAAGAGGUAGGGGCAGACAGAUGGGGGCAGAGAAGGGAGAGACAGCAGAAAGGAGGAGAGAGAUUGCCUGGCUGGGAACACGUGGGCGAACUGGGGUGGCGAGCAGUCUUUUCUUUUUUUUUUUUCUUUUUUUUUUUAGGCUCCUAGACUGCACCUUACUGCGGCAGGUAAUGGCGGCACAUUAUGAAGUAAGCCCUUGCUAGGUCCCUAGGAGGAACCCAGCGGAAUCACCUGUAAGUCAACACCAGAGGGCUUCAUCAAUCUAGUUGGCCACGAACAGCCAUCUUGUGAACCGAUGUGGCAGCUCGGGAGACCAGAGAUGCUGUAAGGAUGAGCUGGAAAUUUGUGUGACUCCCUGAGAGAAGAGUGCCUGGACAUGACCCCCGACCCCCUUGGCUGCUCUGCCUUCCUGCUUCGGCCUCACUUGCCUUCUUGAGCUCCCGUGGUCCAGCUGACUCCCAGACCACUGCCUGGCUGGUUCACAGGGCCACUAUGGCUUCUCCCAGUCAUCAUUGGAUGGUCCUUAGCAAAUGAGACCAAGUCUUCCUGAUACAUUGUAUCCUGCUGGGAGAUUGGCAGAAUCAAAGAUAUGAUUUGGAACCUCUGAACGUUACAGAAUUUCUUGAGAUUAGUAGGUGCCUCAGAACACACCCAGCCUUUCUUCUCUCCGUGGGACGGUUCAGGGUAUACCGUCAAGAUAGAUGCAUGAGAACGGUUCGCAAUCAAAUUCCUACCUGGUUCCCGCUGCAACAGCCACCUCUGUCCUUCGGAGCGUGUUGCUACCAGACUUGUUUAUCUACCAGACUCCUUUCAGUACAGAUGAGAGCUCCACUUCUAUCUGUAGUUAUCGUCCUUUCCCUGUGAAUGUCCCCCUGAACGACUGUUCUAAUUCUUAGUAGAGAAACUCGCUCGUCCUACAUAUGAACUACAGCUGCAAACAUUUUCAAAAGAGGUGAAGUCAUGCAGUUUUAUAAGACAUAGUCAAGUGUCAACACUUUGCUAGGACUCUUGGUAACCAAGGGUGACUCAGGAUUGACAUUCCGUUGUGCUAGAGGGGAACUGAGACCCUAAAACCUGUUGUCCCCCCC